GAGCCCGUGGCUCAAUGGUUAGAGCAUUGGACUUCUGAUCGACAGGUCACGGGUUCG
rnacentral:tRNA from 1 species